AAGGAAUGAUGUUAAUUUAAGACUUCACAAAAUCAGCUUUGUUUUAUUUUCCCAUCUCUGCCUUCCUUUCAGUGAAGGAUCUCAGCAUACUGAAAUUCCUCUUUUUUUUUUUUUUUUUUUUUUUUGUAUUUCUGUUAGAUCCUAAGGGAAUAAUGAGGUCAGUGGGAAUUUAAGCUGAAAAAUGAAUUACUUUCAGUAAAUAACUUUAAUAAAUUAUCUUUAAAUAAAUUAUUGAUGUUUUUUCUCCAGCUAAAACAGCUGGAUUUCUUUAAGGAAUUUGCACAUAACUCUCAGCACCUUUGCAGUUGAUCAGCUUUACAGCAAUACAGUAAUGAUGAAUUUGAGCUCUAAGUCUCUGCCACAACCAAAGAGCAGUAUUUGGAUCCUUUUUUCACUAGCAGCUACAGAAAGGAUAUAAUAAAAUUGUUCCAUGAAAGCUGUAAAGCUUAACCCAGGUUUAUUUUUCUGUUUCAUUUGUGUUAGAAAUAUAGAAACUCACCUUGGCUGCCCUGUCUCCUAAGACUGCUUCAGUUGUGCUUGUCAUAAAGACAAUAGAUAAGAACAGAGUCUGCUGAGGUCACCGAGUAGUAUUAAAAUAAGUGCAAAACAGCUCCAUUUGAAACUUGAGGAAGGUGAUAAAUCGCUUUAAAAAUUGGCAGAGUGAAAAUUGCCACAGGUCUGGAAUCAAUUGAAAAUACAGUCUUGAAUUCCUCAGUGCACAAGCCAGUGGAAAUCUAUAAUGACCUCUGGGGAGAGAAAAUGGGAACUUGUGGGUUUGACAACUAUGGUCCAUUUGAAGCUUCCAGUAGGCUGCCAAUUAGCUGAAUUCAUGAUGUGGCUGGUUAAACUGGUUUUGUGUGCAAUUUAUAUUGAACUGAUAGUUUAGAUUCAGAAACAACUAUCAUAAUGGCAUGACUAUUCCUUUGUGGACUGCAAAACAAAUGUUAAAAUACCUCAGAGGUAUGUACAACAAAAUAGAAAUAGUUGGCAUUUUAAAAGAAUUAUAAAUAUACUGGAGCACAGUAAAAGCCAAAGUGAUGACUUAAUCUAUUAUAUGGAGA
rnacentral:lncRNA from 1 species